AUUAGAUACCCGGGUAGUCCUAGCCGUAAACGAUACUCGCUAGGUGUCGGCCACGGUGCGACCGUUGUCGGCGCCGUAGGGAAGCCGUGAAGCGAGCCACCUGGGAAGUACGGCCGCAAGGCUGAAACUUAAAGGAAUUGGCGGGGGAGCACCACAACGGGUGGAGCUUGCGGUUUAAUUGGAUUCAACGCCGGAAAUCUUACCGGGACCGACAGCAAUAUGAAGGCCAGGCUGAAGACUUUGCCGGAUUAGCUGAGAGGUGGUGCAUGGC
rnacentral:rRNA from 1 species